UACGUAGGGUCCGAGCGUUGUCCGGAAUUACUGGGCGUAAAGCGCACGUAGGCGGGCGAUUAAGUCAGGGGUGAAAUCCCGGAGCUCAACUCCGGAACUGCCUUUGAUACUGGUCGUCUAGAGAUCGGAAGAGGUGAGUGGAAUUCCCAGUGUAGAGGUGAAAUUCGUAGAUAUUGGGAAGAACACCAGUGGCGAAGGCGGCUCACUGGUCCGAUACUGACGCUGAGGUGCGAAAGCGUGGGGAGCAAACAGG
rnacentral:rRNA from 1 species